AGACGUGUAGCUCAAUAGGUAGAGCAGUUGAUUUUUUUAAUCAAUGGUGUGUGAUUGCUUGUGCAGGUUCGACUCCUGUCACGUCAA
rnacentral:tRNA from 1 species